GCACGAGCGCAACCUUGCCUUAGUUGCCAGCAGUUCGGCUGGGCACUCUAAAGGGACUGCCGGUGUUAAACCGGAGGAAGGUGGGGAUGACGUCAAGUCCUCAUGGCCUUAUGACCAGGGCUACACACGUACUACAAUGGCCGAUACAAAGGGCAGCGACACUGCGAGGUGAAGCCAAUCCCGUAAAAUCGGUCUCAGUCCGGAUUGGAGUCUGCAACUCGACUCCAUGAAGUUGGAAUCGCUAGUAAUCGUGGAUCAGCAUGCCACGGUGAAUACGUUCCCGGGCCUC
rnacentral:rRNA from 1 species